GAUGAAGAACGCAGCGAAAUGCGAUAAGUAAUGUGAAUUGCAGAAUUCAGUGAAUCAUCGAAUCUUUGAACGCAUCUUGCGCUCCUUGGUAUUCUGAGGAGCAUGCCUGUUUGAGUGUCAUUAAAUUCUCAACCGCACUGACUUUGAAUUGGUGUGGCUUGGAUUUGGGGGGAAAAUUGUUGUGGGCUUUUUUGUAUAGUCUGCUCCCCUGAAAUUGAUUAGCGGUACCUUUGUGGAACUGUCUACAGGUGUGAUAAUUAUCUACAUCCUAGACAUCUGCUGGAAUGCUGCUUUCUAAACCUUACUUGUAUUGACAAUCUUGACCUCAAAUCAGGUAGGACUACCCGCUGAACUUAAGCAUUUCAAUAAGCGGAGGA
rnacentral:misc_RNA from 1 species